AAGGUUUUAAGUUAAAUAAACUAAUAGCCUUCAAAGCUAUCAAUAAAAAUAAUUUUUUAAGCCUUA
rnacentral:tRNA from 2 species